UCCCUGGUGACCUAGUGGUUGGGGAUUCAGCAUUGUGGCUGCUGUGGCUCAGGUUUGAUCCCUGGCCCAGGAA
rnacentral:tRNA from 1 species